rnacentral:rRNA from 1 species
AGAGUUUGAUCGUGGCUCAGGAUGAACGCUAGCGGCGCGCUUAAUGCAUGCAAGUCGAGCGAUGAGGCCCCUUCGGGGGCACAUCAGCGGCAGACGGGUGAGUAACACGUGGAUGACCUGCCCCGAAGACGAGGAUAACGGAUGGAAACAUCCGCUAAUACUCGAUGGUCUUGUACUGUCGCAGGUACAAGUAAAGCUCCGGUGCUUCGGGAGGGGUCUGCGGCCUAUCAGCUAGUUGGUGAGGUAACGGCCCACCAAGGCGACGACGGGUAGGGGGUGUGAGAGCACGGCCCCCCACAAUGGGACUGAGACACGGCCCAUACUCCUACGGGAGGCAGCAGCAGGGAAUAUUGCACAAUGGACGGAAGUCUGAUGCAGCGACGCCGCGUGGAUGAUGAAGGCCUUCGGGUUGUAAAAUCCUUUUCAGGGGGACGAGGGAGGACGGUACCCUUGGAAUAAGCGUCGGCUAACUACGUGCCAGCAGCCGCGGUAAGACGUAGGACGCGAGCGUUAUCCGGAUUUACUGGGCGUAAAGCGUCUGUAGGCGGAAUGGUAAGUUGGGCGUGAAAGCUCCGGGCUUAACCCGGAGAGGACGUUCAAUACUGCCAAACUAGAGGGCAUCAGAGGAGCGUGGAAUUUCCGGUGUAGCGGUAAAAUGCGCAGAUAUCGGAAGGAACACCAAUGGCGAAGGCAGCGCUCUGGGAUGCACCUGACGCUAAGAGACGAAAGCUAGGGGAGCGAACAGGAUUAGAGACCCUGGUAGUCCUAGCCCUAAACGAUGGAUGCUAGGUGUAGGGCCGCAAGGUUCUGUGCCGGAGCAAACGCGAUAAGCAUCCCGCCUGGGGAAUACGGCCGCAAGGCUAAAACUCAAACGAAUUGACGGGGCCCCGCACAAGCAGCGGAGCGUGUGGUUUAAUUCGAUCUACACGAAGAACCUUACCUGGGUUUGACAUACGAGUGGUAAUGAGGCGAAAGCCAAGUGACCCUUCGGGGAGCUUGUACAGGUGCUGCAUGGCUGUCGUCAGCUCGUGCCGUGAGGUGUCGGGUUAAGUCCCGUAACGAGCGCAACCCUUACCCUUAGUUACAAGUGUCUAAGGGGACUGCCGGCGGUAAGCCGGAGGAAGGUGGGGAUGACGUCAAGUCAGCAUGGCCCAUAUGUCCAGGGCUACACACACGCUACAAUGGUUGGUACAAAGGGCAGCGAAACCGCGAGGCGGAGCGAAUCCCAACAAAGCCAAUCUUAGUUCGAAUUGCAGGCUGCAACUCGCUUGCAUGAAGCUGGAGUUGCUAGUAACCGCGCGUCAGCUAUAGUGCGGUGAAUACGUUCCCGGGGCUUGUACACACCGCCCGUCACGUCAUGGAAGUUGGUAACGCCUGAAGCUGGUAGCCUAGCGCGCAAGUGGGGGCGCCAUCGAAGGCGGGGCUAGCAACUGGGACGAAGUCGUAACAAGGUA